rnacentral:rRNA from 1 species
UACGUAGGUGGCAAGCGUUGUCCGGAUUUAUUGGGUUUAAAGGGUGCGUAGGCGGUUCCAUAAGUCAGUGGUGAAAUACAAUAGCUUAACUAUUGAGGUGCCAUUGAUACUGCGGAACUUGAGUACAGACGAGGUAGGCGGAAUUGACGGUGUAGCGGUGAAAUGCUUAGAUAUCGUCAAGAACACCGAUUGCGAAGGCAGCUAACGAAGCUGUAACUGACGCUGAGGCUCGAAAGUGCGGGGAUCAAACAGG